CUGAACGCUGGCGGCGUGGCUAAGACAUGCAAGUCGAACGGGUGUGUAGCAAUACACCAGUGGCGGACGGGUGAGUAAUGUAUCGCUAAUGUACCCCUGAGCCUGGGAUAGCUGACCGAAAGGUCAGGUAAUACCAGAUGAAAUAACUUUUCUCGCAUGAGAGAGUUCUCAAAGCCGCAAGGCACUCUAGGCGCAGGCGAUAUCGCAUCAGCUUGUUGGUGAGGGUAACGGCUCACCAAGGCGACGACGCGUAGCUGGUCUGAGAGGACGGCCAGCCACAUCGGGACUGAGACAACUGCCCGGACUCCUACGGGGGGCUGCAGUAACGAAUCUUUCCGCAAUGCACGAAAGUGUGACGGAGCGACGGCCGCGUGGAGGACGAAGCCCUUCGGGGUGUAAACUCCUGUCAGGGGUUACCAAGUUCUGAGGAGCCCCAGAGGAAGGCACGGCUAACUCUGUGCCAGCAGCCGCGGUAAGACAGAGGUGCCGAGCGUUAGGCGGAAUCACUGGGCUUAUAAAGCGUGUGUAGGCGGGGCGUUAAGUGCUUUUGUGAAAUCCCACGGCUCACCCGUGGAACUGCUUGGCAUACUGGCGCUCUUGAGCCAUCUAGGGGCAACUGGAACAAACGGUGGGAGCGGUGAAAUGCGUAGAUAUCGUUUGGAACACCAAUGGUGAAAACAGGUUGCUGGGGAUGUGCUGACGCCUGAGACACGAAAGCCAGGGGAGCGAACGGGAUUAGAUACCCCGGUAGUCCUGGCCGGUAAACGAUGUCGACUAGAUCCUGGCCGCUCUGACGCGGUCAGGGUCGAAGCAAAAGUGCUAAGUCGACCGCCUGGGAAGUACGGUCGCAAGGCUAAAACUCAAAGGAAUUGACGGGGGGCUCACACAAGCGGUGGAGCAUGUGGUUCAAUUCGAAGCAACGCGCAGAAACCUUACCUGGGCUUGACAUGCCUGGAUUAUUUCCCAUGAAAGUGGGAUAGGCCCGCAAGGGUACAAACAGGCAACAGGUGCUGCAUGGCUGUCGUCAGCUCGUGUCGUGAGAUGUCGGGUUAAGUCCCUUAACGAGCGAAAACCUUUGCCCUUAGUUACCACAUUCAGUUGGGGACUCUAAGGGGACUGCCGGUGUCAAACCGGAGGAAGGUGGAAGAUGACGUCAAGUCCCUCAUGGCCUUUAUGCCCAGGGCCACACACGUGCUACAAUGGCGUGCACAAAGCGAACCGAGGCCGCAAGGCGGAGGAAAAACGCAUAAAUCACGCCCCCAGUUUCAGAUCGGAGGCUGCAACUCGCCUCCGUGAAGUUGGAAUCGCUAGUAAUCGCGGAUCAGCUUACGCCGCGGUGAAUGUGUUCCUGAGCCUUUGUACACACCGCCCCGUCAAGUCAUGGGAGCCGGAAAUAGCCGAAGUUGCCUCACCACAGAGGUACCUACGCUAGGUUUCGGUGACUGGGACU
rnacentral:rRNA from 1 species